AAGAGCGGAGUGACGGGAGACCGUCACGCUCCGUUCCGUGGGAGCCCGGGGGGCGCAAUUCCCCCCGGGCCACCCGAC
rnacentral:ncRNA from 1 species